AUUGAACGCUGGCGGCAUGCCUUACACAUGCAAGUCGAACGGCAGCGGGCCUUCGGGUGCCGGCGAGUGGCGAACGGGUGAGUAAUGCAUCGGAACGUGCCAUUGAGUGGGGGAUAACGUAGCGAAAGUUGCGCUAAUACCGCAUAUUCUGUGAGCAGGAAAGCAGGGGACCGCAAGGCCUUGCGCUCUUUGAGCGGCCGAUGUCAGAUUAGCUAGUUGGUGAGGUAAAGGCUUACCAAGGCGACGAUCUGUAGCGGGUCUGAGAGGAUGAUCCGCCACACUGGAACUGAGACACGGUCCAGACUCCUACGGGAGGCAGCAGUGGGGAAUUUUGGACAAUGGGGGGCAACCCUGAUCCAGCCAUGCCGCGUGAGUGAAGAA
rnacentral:rRNA from 1 species